rnacentral:tRNA from 2 species
GGUCUUGUAGUUCAAUUGGUAGAACGCACCGCUCAUAACGGUCGAGGUUGCGAGUUCGAGUCCCGCCAAGACCA